rnacentral:rRNA from 1 species
GACGAACGCUGGCGGCGUGCUUAACACAUGCAAGUCGAACGGAAAGGCCCUGCUUUUGUGGGGUGCUCGAGUGGCGAACGGGUGAGUAACACGUGAGUAACCUGCCCUUGACUUUGGGAUAACUUCAGGAAACUGGGGCUAAUACCGGAUAGGAGCUCCUGCUGCAUGGUGGGGGUUGGAAAGUUUCGGCGGUUGGGGAUGGACUCGCGGCUUAUCAGCUUGUUGGUGGGGUAGUGGCUUACCAAGGCUUUGACGGGUAGCCGGCCUGAGAGGGUGACCGGCCACAUUGGGACUGAGAUACGGCCCAGACUCCUACGGGAGGCAGCAGGGGGGAAUAUUGCACAAUGGGUGGAAGCCUGAGGCAGCAACGCCGCGUGCGGGAUGACGGCCUUCGGGUUGUAAACCGCUUUCGCCUGUGACGAAGCGUGAGUGACGGUAAUGGGUAAAGAAGCACCGGCUAACUACGU